GCCACAUCAUGUUGAGACACUGGUUUCAAUAUGAUCACCGAAGUUAAGCAAUGUUGAGCCUAGUCAGUACCUAGAUGGGUGACUGGGAAUACUAGGUACUGUAUG